rnacentral:rRNA from 1 species
AACGAACGCUGGCGGCAGGCCUAACACAUGCAAGUCGAACGCGUCCUUCGGGACGGAGUGGCAGACGGGUGAGUAACGCGUGGGAACGUACCCUUUGGUUCGGAACAACAGCGGGAAACUGCUGCUAAUACCGGAUAAGCCCUUCGGGGAAGAUUAUCGCCAGAGGAUCGGCCCGCGUUAGAUUAGCUUGUUGGUGAGGUAAUGGCUCACCAAGGCUACGAUCUAUAGCUGGUCUGAGAGGAUGAUCAGCCACACUGGGACUGAGACACGGCCCAGACUCUUACGGGAGGCAGCAGUGGGGAAUCUUGGACAAUGGGCGAAAGCCUGAUCCAGCCAUGCCGCGUGAAUGAUGAAGGCCCUAGGGUUGUAAAAUUCUUUCGACGGGGGAAGAUAAUGACGGUACCCGUAGAAGAAGCUCCGGCUAACUUCGUGCCAGCAGCCGCGGUAAU